ACGAUCAGAAGAAUGUCUCCAUAGAAAAACUUAAAAUUUUCUCUAACUUGGCAAUAAUUGAGGACAGUAUCAGAAUUGAAGAUAAAGAGUAAAUGAGAAUCGAAAAUAACACAUAUUGUAGAAGGAUUAUUUUACCAAUUAGUGAUAGAGCCUUCCACUUUCAAGUUGCACACCAGGAGCAAACUUUCUCCCUUAAGGCAUUG
rnacentral:lncRNA from 1 species